rnacentral:rRNA from 1 species
UACGUAGGGGGCAAGCGUUGUCCGGAUUUAUUGGGCGUAAAGAGCGUGUAGGCGGCCUGGAAGGUCAGCUGUGAAAACUCGAGGCUCAACCUCGAGACGUCGGUUGAAACCACCUGGCUAGAGUCCGGAAGAGGAGAGUGGAAUUCCCGGUGUAGCGGUGAAAUGCGCAGAUAUCGGGAAGAACACCCGUGGCGAAGGCGGAUCUCUGGGCCUUACCUGACGCUCAGGUGCGAAAGCUAGGGGAGCGAACAGG